rnacentral:rRNA from 1 species
GUGAAAUCCUCGGGCUCAACUCGAGAAUUGCCUUCGAUACUGGCAAACUAGAGUGCCGGAGAGGAAAGCGGAAACUCUUGGUGUAACGGUGGAAUGUGUAGAUAUCAAGAGGAACACCGGUGGCGAAGGCGGCUUUCUGGACGCACACUGACGCUCAGGCGCGAAAGCGUGGGUAGCAAACAGGAUUAGAUACCCUGGUAGUCCACGCCAUAAACGAUGGGUACUAGGUGUCGGGGGUAUCGACCCCUCCGGUGCCGCAGUUAACGCACUAAGUACCCCGCCUGGGGAUUAUGGUCGCAAGGCUGAAACUCAAAGGAAUUGACGGGGCCCCGCACAAGCGGUGGAGCAUGUGGUUUAAUUCGACGCAACGCGAAGAACCUUACCUGGGCUUGACAUGCUUGGGACAGCGCUGGAAACAGCGUCUCUCAUUCGGGAGCCCUUGCACAGGUGCUGCAUGGCUGUCGUCAGCUCGUGUCGUGAGAUGUUGGGUUAAGUCCCGCAACGAGCGCAACCCUCGUUACUAGUUGCCAUCAGUUCGGCUGGGCACUCUAGUGAGACUGCCGGUGAUAAACCGGAGGAAGGUGAGGAUGAUGUCAAGUCAUCAUGGCCCUUACGCCCAGGGCUACACACGUGCUACAAUGGUCGGCACAAAGGGUCGCUAAGCCGCGAGGUGGAGCUAAUCCCAAAAAGCCGGCCUCAGUUCGGAUUGGAGUCUGCAACCCGACUCCAUGAAGGCGGAAUCGCUAGUAAUCGCGGAUCAGCAUGCCGCGGUGAAUAUGUUCCCGGGGCUUGUACACACCGCCCGUCAUAUCACCCGAGUCGGGGAUACCCGAAGUCCGUGACCCAACCAUUUGGAGGGAGCGGCCGAAGUGUGCAUGGUAAGGG